CGAACUAUGAAUAUCUUCUUGCUGCAAAAUAGCUACAUCCUACUAAACGACAAAUAAGAUAGUGCAGAAUAAAUAAAGCGUUAAUGCAGCGUUAACAUUAUUGAAGCGAUAGUUUUAAUUCGCUCGCAUAUUCACUAUAGUCUACUAAGCGAUCAAUCGGAUAAUGCAGCUCAAAUAAUGCUGGAAGGAGCAGUUGGAAUAAUAAACUGUUUAUUAAUAUCCAGAAUUACAUCUCGAGUUCAUCAGCGUUCACGGUUGAUUGAAGUCGUCGUAUAACAGCUGCAAAUUCUGCUUCGCUGUUCCUCUAUCAACCUGAACUCAGUGCAGCUGCACCUGAUUUAAGCACUUUCAUCCGAACAACACCGUUUUCAGGCCUUCUUCGCUGAUAAAGUCUGUUCUAUUCUAAGAAUGCAUCUGACGACUGAACAUUGCAUAACGAGAUCUACAAGCACAGUACAGCGAUCACUAGAAUCAUCAGGGUCGAGUAGACAAGAAACUCUGUUUGCAGUAACGGUAUAGCCUUACCCGAAACCAGGUAUUUUAAGAUAGAAAGUUAAUAGGAUAGAGCCGGUUCAGCAUGGUUGGCGUCAUGUGACAUCCACAGCUUGCAAAAACGUAUGCUAUUGCGUUACCUUUGGUUUUGAGGGCCUUCGUCUAUAUGCAACGGUUUAUCUGAUCAGAAGCGCUUACCUUAUUACUUGUUACUUGUGGAUGUUUGAAGCGCUUGAGGG